rnacentral:rRNA from 1 species
GUAGGGUGCAAGCGUUAAUCGGAAUUACUGGGCGUAAAGCGUGCGCAGGCGGCUUUGCAAGACAGAUGUGAAAUCCCCGGGCUUAACCUGGGAACUGCAUUCGAUACUGCCGUGCUUGAGGACUGGAGAGGAGACUGGAAUUUACGGUGUAGCGGUGAAAUGCGUAGAUAUCGUAAGGAAGACCAGUGGCGAAGGCGGGUCUCUGGACAGUUCCUGACGCUGAGGCACGAAGGUCAGGGGAGCAAACGGG